rnacentral:misc_RNA from 1 species
CGCACAUUGCGCUCCUCGGUAGCCCGGGGAGCAUGCCUGUUCGAGCGUCAUUUCAGACCAUCAAGCAUCAGCUUGGCGUUGGGCUAUAUUUACUCACUAAUCACUAGCGGGUAGGCCCUAAAUUGAAUGGCGGCGCGAGCCGAGCCUCAAGCGUAGUAGAACUUUUUAUCCCGCUUCAGAAGGCCUCGGUGAGAGCUCGCCUCUAAUGUUUCUUUCCGCAUUGGAAGGAUAUCUCAAAGGUUGACCUCGGAUCAGACAAGGGUACCCGCUGAACUUAA